CAAAACUAGCCGACGGAGCCUAAAUGAAAGUUGUAGAGCAUAGUCUCACCUACGCGUGGAUAUAAAGAACGCGAAAAACGGAGCUCGUACGCGAAAGUUACGGAAUUUAGAAGAUUGAAGCCGGAAUUACGCCCAACGUAAUUCAAGAGUACGCCCAGCGUACUCAGGUGCAGAGUCAACUCCCAUAGGCUGCAAGCUCUACGCUUAGCUAGACCCGAGUCGUAAGCUAUGACGCAAAUUUACACCCAGCGUAACCGAAGUACGCCCAGCGUACUCCGAUGGUACGCCCAGCGUACUCACGCCUUCAACCUUAUAAAUAGAGGGCAUGAACUCCGGAUUUUGGCACACUUUCCUCAAACUCUCACUCACUUUCACACACUUGCAAGCACCAGAGACCGUCCCAACACCCUCUAUUCCACACCCGAGCCCCCGACGAAGGUUUUAGGCUACCGAGAUCCCCGAGAAGCUCGAAGACGCAACUUUCCGCAGUUGAAGUUCUGCUCGACUCUAGUCUCACUCUCUUCAAACCGAACAAGUGAGUUCAUACCCCUACUUUUCAAGUCUUUUCAUGUUUUAGNNNNNNNNGGGGGGGGGGGGGAAUACAAGUACAAUACAAGAAAACGUAUCAUUUUAUAUAAAUACAACAUCUAUCUUAUUAUUAUUCGAUACCAACAUCUUACUUUACGUAUAAAAUUUAGUAUUUCACCAAGUUAUUUUCACCAAAUGGAACAUACUUUUUGAAAGACCAUAAUGGGUAUAGUUUGCGAGUAUUUCAUACAUUCUUACGUAUACAUCUUGAAAAACGAAAUACUUUCAUCUAAAGUGAAAUAAAGACUUUCUUAUCGUAAAUCUAUUUAUACUAAGUGAUGUGAGAUAUUCAACUUCAACGUACUCUUAAGUAUGCAUUUCAAGUCCUGUAUUAUAAGCCAUAAUCUCUUGUGUAUAGAUCUAUACGGGAUUGACAACCCUGCACCUAAACUGUUAGCUACAGUUAGACCGGCAGGUCUGGGGUGACAAAUGUCAUAACACUACAACACCUGAAGAAUGUUGUUACAGGCAGUCUGUGUCAAUAGUAUGGUUAUAAGACUCACACGAAAGUAUAAAAACAAGCUUGAUUUACGAGAUUCAUACAUGCAUUCAGUAUUUACAUUAUUUUGAGUACAAACUUAUCUUUAUCNCUUUGGGAACUUUUCAAACUAUAUGUGGAAAAUAUUGGAUUUUCUGGAAACUACGUUCAUCUAUUUUCUUCCAAAAAGACAUACUUUUUCAGUACAAAAACACUUAUGAACUCACCAACUUUAUUGUUGACACUUUUUCGAAACCACUUGUAUUUCUCAGGGAAUCAGUAAUACAGGUAACUACCAGCUUUUGAAGAAGGAACGCUAAAGGCAAUUAUUAUCAAACAUUUUAAAUCAUCAUAUUGUAAUAUUCUUUUGGAAACAUGUAUAACGCAACAAUAUACGUUUUUAUUAUAUAUAUGAUGGUUGUGUUACUUUCUUUACAAUAUUCAAUUGUUAUGAUACUACGUGAAGUCAUCCACCCCCGAAUGUUUCCGCCAUUCUGGUUUGGGGGUGUGACAGAUUGGUAUCAGAGCAUUGUUUAUAGUGAACUAAGUAUAUCGAACCACAUAAGAUAUACAAACUAUAAAUGCAAAGGGGACCAAAAACCCUUUGACAAAAUGUUUUCAUAAACAAUAUAUUUUCUUUUAAAAAUAUACAUUUUUACACGCAUGCAUCGGUCUCGUAUCAUAACAAAGUUUUCUAAAAAGUAUUAAGGCAAGUUGCGACACUACGAUUGGGCCUCGAGGUAUGUAAUCAAAUCGAGAAUAAAUAUAGCCUGAUCAAUUAUAUUUAUCCUGGAUUUGACCAACGUACAUCGAGGAAUGGUCGUAGUGGACAACAAGUCAAAAACUUACCAAAUAAAAUUUCUAGACUUGCAAAUUCGAAAUACUAUAGGAGUAUUGUCAUAAAAUAUAAGGACAAUGAAAAACCUGCACACCACAAGAUAUAGUUAAACUUAGGAUGCCGUUAAAUAGAUAUUUCUUUUCUUAUAAAAUUCUUAUACCUCUAUCCUAGUACAGACACAAUGGCCAGAUUCCACAUACCAGGAGAUCCCUACUACCCAAACCAAGGUAACGGUGGAUGGAUAGAAGAAGAUCCGGAAGAAGACCCAGAGGAAAUCGAAGAGGAAGUCGAAGAGGAAGUCGGAGAGGAAUUCGAAGUCGAUGAGGAAAUCGAAGAGGAAGAAGAGCCUAUAGAGGAGGAAGAGGAAGUUAUGGAUGGAACAGACUCCGAGCCGGAAGUAAUCAACCCUCCCACUCCUCGUCCUCCCGAAGUUAGAAUGGGUUACCAAAGACCCAUUCCCAUUUGGGGAAGCCAUCUCUACCAUUGGAGCCGUCAACUAGGUGUAUGCCCUCCCUUCGGCAUGUGUCGGGAGUUUUACAAUGUCAGUGGGGGAGGCUCAGCUGAUCGAGCGCUUCCCAUUAUUGUGGGCACAAUGGCCACCCAGAACUACCAUUCAGACAUGCAAGCGGCCAGAAUUCGUGAGAUCAAUGCUGCUACACAGGGUAACGUCGCAGACAUCCGUCGUCUGGACGGACUACACGAAGGUACCCAACUCCACACAGGGACGCUUCAAAGCCAAAUGGUGACAACACUUGCAGAAAUAAGAGAGAUGAAAGAACAACAAGCGGUUCUUGAGAGGCGUUUAAUGGGAGUCAAACAAUCGGAUGCCGAGUCUAGCUCCAAACGCACAACACGCAGCAAGUAGGACUUGCCCAACUCCAACAAUUUUGAUAUAGAAUAGGACCUCGGAUAAAGUUUUUCUUACUUUCUUUGAACUUGUAAUUGGAGACCUCUAGUUUGGUCAAAUUUUCCUAAACACGAAGCAUAAUGUAACGCAUCGUAUGUGUGACAUAUAUAUGAAGUAUUUCUUUACAUACCUCUCGAAACUAACCCUCUAGUGCACGAUUGUCAAAUCAUUAGAAACUUAUAGUCUUCAUUAUUAUUUCUCUACCAGAACAUGCCUCCUCAUAGAUCAUCACGCAGAAACUCAGCUCCAACACCACCUCCACCACCCCCUCCAACUAUGGAUGCAACUAUGUUCCAAUCUGCUGUAACAGCCGCUGUAACCGCAUCGAUGGAACAAAUGAGUAACAACGGGUUAGGAGGCGGAAUAAACAACUUUACAAAUGGCCAAAGCCAAGGCCGUUCCAGGGAAUGUACUUACAAAGACUUCACCAAUGGCAAACCUAUUCCCUUUAGUGGGACUGAGGGAGUGAUGGCUCUAUCCCAAUGGAUAGAGAAAACGGAAGCUGUGUUCGAAAUUUGCGCGUGCCCAGAAGAAAGCAAAGUGAAAUUCACCGCCUAUACUUUCUCCAAACGAGCCCUAACGUGGUGGAACGGCCACGUCAAGGCACUAAACCUAGUAGUGGCGAACUCCAUGGGUUGGGAAAACCUGAAACAAAUGCUCCUACGAGAGUACUGCCCAAGAGGCAAGAUUCAGAAACUCGAACAGGAACUGUAGGGCCAUACGAUGGUAGGCUCGGACAUCGCAGGCUAUACCAACAGAUUCAGUGACUUGAUAAUACUUUGCCCGGGAAUGAUGAUCCUGGAAAGCCAAAAGGUGGAAAGGUAUAUCUGGGGACUAUCACCCCAACUUCGAGGGAGUGUGUUAGCCUCCAAACCCACGACGUUCGAAAGCGCCAAGGAACUAGUGCAAUCUAUCGUUGAUCAUGGUGUCUGUCAAAGCAUCACGACCGUCGUCGCUGAACCAACCAAAGGAAGCAACAACAACGGAAACAAUGCCAACAACAACAAGAAGAAGAAGUUCUGGAACAAGAGAAAAGGACAAACUUCGCAAGAACCUUCAAAGAAAAAAAUGGUGGCGGUCCAUGCCGCUACUGCCCCCACUACAACUCCUGCUACCCCUGCGCCAACGAAAUAAUAUGCUGGGAACCUGCCAAAGUGCAACAAAUGCAAUUACUAUCACCACGGUAAUUGCCGCGAGAUGCACUGUAAAAACUGCGACAAGAAAGGGCACACUGCCCGUUUCUAUAAGGCACCGGCGCGACCAAUCACUCAAGUUCCUGGUAUUGGAAUAAGCCAGGCAUGUUAUGGGUUUGGAGAAACUGGGCAGUUCAAGAGGGAUUGCCCCAAGGCAAAGAAUGCUGGCGGUGUUGGAAGAGUGCUAGCGAUAGGACAAAAUGAAGCAAUAGCUGACCCCUCGGUGGUUACGGGUACGUUUCUCCUCGACAACAUUUAUGCAUGCAUACUCUUUGACUGCGGUGCGGAGAGAAGUUUUGUGAGUCAUAAAUUCAAACACCUACUUAAUCAAAAACCCCAACCACUCAAUAAAAUAUUCACUGUAGAAAUGGCAAACGGUAAAACGGAAAGCGCAAGCGAUAUGUACGUAGGGUGCACAUUAAAUUUAAACGAGCACUUGUUUCAAAUCGAUCUUAUGCCCAUUUCAAUAAGAAGUUUUGAUGUCAUCAUCGGUAUGGACUUGUUAAGCCUUCACCAUGCCGAUAUACUUUGUCACGAAAGGGCCGUUCGCCUCAAUCUGCCAAACGGCGAAACUCUUGUCAUUUAUGGUGACAAACCUAGUACAAAUUUACAAAUCAUCUCCUAUGUUAAAGCAUAAAAAUAUCUUCGCAGGGAAUAUCAUGCCUUUCUAGCCAACGUAGUAGACAAGAAACAAGAAUCGAAGAACAUUAAGGACAUUCUGGAAGUCUGCAACUUCCCAGACAUCUUCCCAGUAGAUCUUCCAGGGAUCCCACCAGAAUGCCAAGUCGAGUUCAGAAUCGACUUAAUUCCCAGAGCUACUCCAGUAGCAAAAUCGCCUUACCGUCUAGCCCCAGCCGAGAUGCAGGAACUGUCCAGUCAAUCGAACGAACUACUGAGCAAAGGCUUCAUCAGACCGAACUUCUCACCAUGGGGAGCACCGGUCCUAUUCGUGAAGAAGAAGGACGGAUCUUUUCACAUGUGCAUCGAUUACCGGGAGCUGAACAAACUCAUGAUCAAGAAUCGAUAUCCCCUACCGCGCAUAAACGAUUUGUUCGACCAACUACAGGGAGCAAGCUACUUCUCAAAGAUCGAUCUAAGAUCUGGUUAUCACCAACUGCGAGUGCUGGAAGGAGACAUCCCCAAAACGACAUUCCGAACACACUAUGGUCACUACAAGUUUAUAGUGAUUCCCUUUGGAUUGACAAAUGCACCGGCGGUGUUCAUGGACUUGAUGAACCGAGUAUGUCGUCCCUUCCUGGAUAAAUUCGUGAUCGUGUUCAUAGAUGAUAUACUCAUCUAUUCAAGAAGCAAGGAAGAACACAGCCGACACCUCCGCCAAGUCUUGGAAACAUUGAGGGCAGAAAAGCUAUACGCAAAAUUUUCAAAGUGCGAGUUUUGGAUUCGAAAAGUAGAUUUCCUAGGUCACGUAGUAAGCAAAGAAGGGACACACGUGGAUCCUUCCAAGAUCAAAGCAAUAGAGAAUUGGAUGACUCCGAGAACCCCAACAGAAAUCCGACAAUUUUUGGGACUCGCCGGGUAUUACCGAAGGUUCAUACAAAACUUUUCAAAGAUUGCUAAGCCACUUACCACCUUAACUCAGAAGAGUGUGACCUUCGACUGGGGAGAAAAACAAGACAUCGCGUUUCAAACACUAAAGCGAGCGUUAUGUAGCGCGCCCAUCCUAACCUUACUAGAAGGAACGGAGGACUUCGUGGUCUAUUGUGAUGCGUCAAACCAAGGACUUGGGUGUGUUCUGAUGCAACGAGGGAAGGUCAUCGCCUACGCCUCAAGACAACUAAAGACGCACGAAGUAAACUACACGACGCACGAUCUCGAUCUAGGAGCAGUCAUUUUCACUCUAAAGAUAUGGAGACACUAUCUCUACGGCACAAAAUGUACAAUCUUCACCGAUCAUAAAAGCCUCCAGCAUAUCCUCAACCAGAAAGAACUCAACAUGAGACAAAGACGGUGGGUAGAACUACUAAAUGAUUACGCAUGCGAAAUUCGAUAUCAUCCCGGAAAGGCUAAUGUGGUGGCUGAUGCACUUAGCCGAAAGGAAUACUCGGGCCGCCGAGUGAAGUCUCUAACUAUGACAAUCUAUUCACACCUGUUCACGCAAAUCAAGGAAGCCCAAAUAGAAACCUUAAAAUAUGAAAAUGUGAUAGGGGAAGCCUUAAGGGGAAUGGAUACGAAGCUUGAAGUCAAGAAUGAUGGAGUUUGUUACUUCAUGGAUCGAAUCUGGACACUGAAGUUGGGCGGAUUCAGAGAAGUCGUCAUGAACGAAGCCCAUAGGACAUGAUACUCCAUACAUCCCGGCUCCGAUAAGAUGUAUUUGGACCUCAAGAAAUUAUACUGGUGGCCGAAUAUGAAAGCCGAAAUUGCUACAUACGUGAGCAAAUGUCUGACAUGCACCAAAAUCAAGGUAGAAUACCAAAAGCCCUCGGGAAUGUUACAACAACCAGAAAUACCCGAAUGGAAGUGGGAGCGGAUAACCAUGGAUUUCAUAACUAAAUUACCCAAGACGGCAAGCGGACUCGACACCAUCUGGGUGAUUGUCGACAGGUUAACUAAAUCCGCGCACUUCCUACCAAUCAAAGAAACGGAUAAAUUGGAGAAGCUAACUAGAACAUACCUCAGGGAGAUUGUACGGCUGCAUGAUGUGCCAAUAUCCAUUAUAUCGGACCGAGAUAGUAGAUUCACCUCAAGAUUCUGGCAGUCGCUGCAAAGAUCUCUAGGAACGAGACUGGACAUGAGUACUGCGUAUCACCCACAAACUGACGGUCAGAGUGAGAGAACCACACAAACCCUAGAAGAUAUGCUGAGGGCUUCCGUAAUCGAUUUUGGCAAGGCAUGGGACACUCAUUUAACAUUGGUCGAGUUUUCGUACAACAAUAGCUACCACACUAGCAUCAAGGCUGCCCCGUUCGAAGCCCUCUACGGUCGUAAGUGUAGAUCCCCUCUGUGUUGGGCUGAAGUGGGUGACACACAGCUAGCAAGAGGACAAGCAACAUACAACACACUCACUUGGCCAGAAAUCAUAAGGGAAACUACAAAGAAGAUUGUUCAGAUCCGGGAACGACUGAAGGCAUCCAGAGACAGACAAAAGAGUUAUGCGGAUAAAAGACGGAAACCCUUGGAAUUCCAGGUUGGAGACCGUGUCCUACUAAAAGUCUCGCCCUGGAAAGGAUUAAUACGUUUUGGAAAACGUGGGAAACUGAACCCAAGGUACAUUGGACCAUUCGAGAUCCUUGCUAGGAUCGGUCCGGUGGCUUACAAACUUCAAUUACCUCAGGAACUCCACAACGUACACCCUACCUUUCACGUAUCAAACCUAAAUAAGUGCUUGUCCGAUGAGACCCUUGUCGUCCUUCUGGACGAAAUUGCAAUAAAUGAGAAUCUCCAAUUUGUAGAAGAACCAGUAGAGAUGGGGAAAUUAAAAGAACUAAGCAAAGCCGUAUACCUAUUGUAAAGGUCCGAUGGAACGCCAAGCGAGGACCUGAAUACACUUGGGAACGCGAGGAUCAGAUGAAACAAAAGUACCCGUAUCUUUUUCCUAAACCGUAAAAUCUGUCCUAGAUUAAAUUUCAGGACGAAAUUCCUCUAACGGGGGGAUGAUGUGACAACCCUAUAUUUUUCCAAAGCAAUAUAACACUCAAAAGUCAAAUACAACGAAACUAUUUGGAAUCAACGAAAUUAGCCUAAAAAAUAAAGUGUUCAAAAAUCUAAAUUGGGAUACAUCAAAUGUUAGAUAUCGUGCCAAGGUUUCCAAAAACAUAAAGAACAUUCGAAACUGGAUUAUAAUGAAGAAAACUAUGACCACUCAAAUAUUCACGACACACCCGGUAAAACAUUAUUUAACGUAAAAAGUGAAAUUCCAAUAAAAUGCAUUUUAGCCUUAAGUAUCUAAACAAAAGUCGUAGAGUUCGUUAAGCCGUAAACAUACAUAAAAGAUCGCCCGAAUUAGACCUCGUAUGAAGAAGUUACGAAUUUUCUAAGUUUCGUAACAGCGGUAGAGAGUUAAAAACUCGAAUCAAAGAUCGAACGAUAUUUGGCUAACGCAACCUAAACAAGAGUUGAAGGUCUCCACAAUAUGAGCAAGAUGAUAAAAAGACAAACGAAAACAGACGUCAGAUAAAGAAGUUAUGAAUUUUUAACGGACUUUAGCAAUACCGGCCUAUUAAAAACAUAGUAUUAAAAAUAAAGUCAAAAUUAGCCGACGGAGCCUAAAUGAAAGUUGUAGAGCAUAGUCUCACCUACACAUGGAUAUAAAGAACGUGAAAAACGGAGCUCGUACACGAAAGUUACGGAAUUUAGAAGAUUGAAGCCGGAAUUACACCCAACGUAAUUCAAGAGUACGCCCAGCGUACUCAGGUGCAGAGUCAAGUCCCAUCGGCUGCAAGCUCUAUGCCUAGCUAGACUCGAGUCGUAAGCCAUGACGCAAAGUUACACCCAGCGUAACCGAAGUACGCCCAGCAUACUUACGCCUUCAACCCUAUAAAUAGGGGGCAUGAACUCCGGAUUUUGACACACUUUCCUCAAACUCUCACUCACUUUCUGUAACAGCCCGAAAACCAGGCACCCUUCUAUUUAUCCCUUCAUC
rnacentral:lncRNA from 1 species